ensembl:lncRNA
CAGAUAUCAAGUAAUGCUGAUGGGAAAUCCAGGCCUCACUAUUUCCCCUUGUGAAGUUCUUAACCCAGCCACCCUCCUACCUACCCCCGAGGGCUCUCUCCCCUUUCACUCUUGUCUAGAAACCUUGGACCACUGGACAAAACCCCAAGAGGGCUUGUCAGAAGAUCCUCUGACCAAUCCUGAGGAAAUCUGGUACACUGAUGGAAGCAGCUUUGUCUUGGAUGGAAAAAGAAGAGCCGGGUAUGCAGUAGUCUCCAAUUUUGAGACCAUAGAGGCUAAGCCUCUGCCACCAGGUCAACAAGCUACAACAUGCAGUGCCAGUUCAACAAAGAUAUAAAACUACAGCCGACCACGGAAAAUAUCACUCACCCUUGGACACUGCUAUAAGGACUCUGAGGCUUGAGACUAGCAAGAGGGGGAGGCCCAAUACCCCUCGCCAUCCCAGUUCAGCAGGAAGUAGCCAGAAAGACCUCGAUGCCCCUAUUCCCAAAGAAUUGGGCCUUCCAUCUCUUGAGGGGGGAAUGUUAGGUAGGUAGAAUAGGGAAAAGGAGUCCAAAAUGGUGGUGGCUAAAAGACAAGGAAAGGAAAAGCCCCAAAAAUAAAACAAAAGAAGGUCCGAGGACCAGAGUGAGGACCUCAGGUAAAACAAAUAACACUCCUGGCUGGCCCAAUUUACAUAGGACAUGCCCAGGGAUAGAUAAACAUAUAAAAUGAGGAGCCAAAGCUAGCUCUCUCUCUCUCUCUCCCACGCACUGGAACGCUCUUCUCUUCAUGUCUUUGGAUCGAUGUGCCUUCAUGCCUCAGAGAUGGAUUUUCCUGCUAUCUUCUAAAUAAAAUAGAGCUGUAACACUGAGCUGCAACACUGAUUUGUCUAAGAGCCAUAACAUGGUCCUUUCAAAACCUGAGAGCUAUAACACGG